AGUGAGCAAGAUGGAAAAAAAGAAAUGGGUGGCGGUGCGGAAUUGGAAGGAAUUUCAGAGCCAGGAGGAGAGGAGUUUCGGUUUCCCGGAGGAGCUGGUUUUUUUGGGGGCGUUUUAGGAAGAUUUGGGAUUUUUUUUGGAGCCGGGAGUGGAAGAGCGAAGGCGGCGACGAGGCAGGGAGGAGAAAUUUAGAGGAAAAAAAAAGGACUUUUUGGUUCAAACUGCACAUGGGGCCCUGGGACAGAAGGCGGCGGUCAGGAGGAAAUGGAAAAAGAGGAAAGAAUGGCAAAAGUGAAAGGGAGGAGGAAAUGAUGGAAAAAGGAGGAGAACGUAAUAGGGAAGGAAAAAAAAGAUCAGAGGAGAAAAUAAUGGAAAAAAGAGAAAAAGAAAAAUAG
rnacentral:lncRNA from 1 species